UACAGAGGUCCCAAGCGUUGUUCGGAUUCACUGGGCGUAAAGGGCGCGUAGGUGGCGACCCAAGUCGAUGGUGAAAGCUCGCCGCUCAACGGCGAGUCGGCCACCGAUACUGGGUUGCUGGAGCACUGUAGAGGCUCAUGGAAUUCCGGGUGUAGCGGUGGAAUGCGUAGAGAUCCGGAAGAACACCGGUGGCGAAGGCGGUGAGCUGGGCAGUUGCUGACACUGAGGCGCGACAGCGUGGGGAGCAAACAGG
rnacentral:rRNA from 1 species